GGAAUGACUGUGGCUCCACUGUCCCUGACAACCCCUUCGUCCGGACCCUCCCUCACACAACUGUGUCUGGUCACCAGCUCCCUCCUGCUGGCCCCCAGAGACCCGGACCCGCAGGGCCUGCCUGGUUCCGGGAAGUCUUCCCAGUCUUCCCAGCCAGCCCGGGCCCUGGGGAGCCCUGGGCACAGCAGCGGCUGAGGGGAUGUCCUGCUCCAGUACCUGCACUGCUCUGGAGUUUGCCUCUUUCCCAAGGAGAUGCUGCUGGGGAGCUGGUAUGGGUGGGGCCUUUCCCUUUACAGACGGGGCAGAUGCCAGGACUCAGCCCAUCCUGAGGAGGACACGUGUCCUCAUGGAGAGGGUGCUCCCUCUGACCCAGGCUGGGGAGUCUGUGCCCAGUCAGCAGCUCUGCCACCAUCUUGCUGGGAACUGGGGGGCCUCUAUUGGGUUAUAGGCAAGGCCUUUUCUCUGGCAUGGAAUUGUUAAUUUUCUGACACAUCUAGAUGUGAAAUUUCUGAAAAUGUUGAAGUAGAGAAACAUUCACACACAAAAAGCAACAUAGUCAUGUGGGCUCCUUGGGGGUAGAGGACAGAUGGCCUCAGUCCUAGAUGUUGGCACCCUUUGCUGUGUCUCCUCAGAAUAUCCUGUUCCGCCUCCUCCCACUUGGACCUCCCUCAGUAGAUGUCUUCCCUCCCCCGGACCCCAGCCUGUCAGUCCGAGCACAGUGCAGGUUUGGCUCUGACUUGGGCCUCGGGCUGCAGUGGGGGUGGAUUUCAGAGCCUCUCAUGGCAGCAUCUAAGUGACCAGAGCAGGGAUGAGAGAGGGGAAGGGGCAAUGUGAGUGGCACUAUGUGACGGGCCAGCCCUGCCCUCUGCCCCUGGGCCCUGGGCUCUGUGCUAGGGAUGGUGAAGAAUGGGGGCAUGCCGGCCUGGCAGGAGUGGGAAGCAACACGCAGGGGUCCCGGGCCUCUCCAGCCUUGCCCUCACGCUUACCCGAGCUCCCGGUGUGGUUCGCACAGAGCUCACCCACCUCGCCUGGCUCCCAGCUGGGGGCCUGUCCUCGCUGGUGCUCCAGGGGAAGAAACGCCAGCCUCGCUUCUGUAUGGACUGCUGAUAUGGCCUGCCGUCCCGUUCAGCGGGCACUGUCUUUGGAGCAGCAGGAGGAUAGGAUGCCUCUCACAUGCCAGUUCCCGGCUGGCCAGCUGCUCAGGACUCAGGCUGGGGCCUCCCAUUGACAUCCUCCCCCUACACUCCCUCUCUGGGCCUCUGUCGCCCCUCCUAUUGGGUGAGGGUGUUGAGUGUGACUUGUGCUGAAAACCUGGUUCAUAUCUAAUAAACAAUGGUGAUGAAAAGAUUA